rnacentral:rRNA from 1 species
AUUGAACGCUGGCGGCAUGCUUUACACAUGCAAGUCGAACGGUAACAGGCCGCAAGGUGCUGACGAGUGGCGAACGGGUGAGUAAUGCAUCGGGACGUGCCCAGUCGUGGGGGAUAACUACUCGAAAGAGUAGCUAAUACCGCAUACGAUCUAUGGAUGAAAGCGGGGGACCGUAAGGCCUCGCGCGAUUGGAGCGGCCGAUGUCAGAUUAGGUAGUUGGUGGGGUAAAGGCUCACCAAGCCAACGAUCUGUAGCUGGUCUGAGAGGACGACCAGCCACACUGGGACUGAGACACGGCCCAGACUCCUACGGGAGGCAGCAGUGGGGAAUUUUGGACAAUGGGCGCAAGCCUGAUCCAGCAAUGCCGCGUGCAGGAAGAAGGCCUUCGGGUUGUAAACUGCUUUUGUACGGAACGAAACGGCUCUGGUUAAUACCCGGGGCUAAUGACGGUACCGUAAGAAUAAGCACCGGCUAACUACGUG